rnacentral:rRNA from 1 species
UACGAAGGGGGCGAGCGUUGUUCGGAUUUACUGGGCGUAAAGGGCGCGCAGGCGGCUUAUUUUGUCAGGCGUGAAAGCCCCGGGCUUAACCUGGGAACUGCGUUUGAUACGGAUGGGCUAGAGUUCGGGAGAGGAGAGUGGAAUUCCCAGUGUAGAGGUGAAAUUCGUAGAUAUCUGGAGGAACACCGGUGGCGAAGGCGGCGUUCUGGACUGCAACUGACACUGAGGAACGAAAGCCAGGGGAGCAAACGGG